rnacentral:rRNA from 1 species
CUGGUUGAUCCUGCCAGAGGCCGCUGCUAUCCGGCUGGGACUAAGCCAUGCGAGUCAAGGGGCCUGUAUCCCUUCGGGGAUGCAAGCACCGGCGGACGGCUCAGUAACACGUGGACAACCUGCCCUCGGGUGGGGGGAUAACCCCGGGAAACUGGGGCUAAUCCCCCAUAGGGGAUGGGUACUGGAAUGUCCCAUCUCCGAAAGCGCUUAGCGCCCGAGGAUGGGUCUGCGGCGGAUUAGGUAGUUGGCGGGGUAACGGCCCGCCAAGCCGAAGAUCCGUACGGGCUGUGGGAGCAGGAGCCCGGAGAUGGACCCCGAGACACGGGUCCAGGCCCUACGGGGCGCAGCAGGCGCGAAACCUCCGCAAUGCGGGAAACCGCGACGGGGUCAGCCGGAGUGCUCGUGCAUCGCACGGGCUGUCGGGGUGCCUAAAAAGCACCCCAUAGCAAGGGCCGGGCAAGGCCGGUGGCAGCCGCCGCGGUAAUACCGGCGGCCCGAGUGGCGGCCACUUUUAUUGGGCCUAAAGCGUCCGUAGCCGGGCUGGUAAGUCCUCCGGGAAAUCUGGUCGCUUAACGAUCAGAAUGCCGGAGGAUACUGCCAGCCUAGGGACCGGGAGAGGCCGGGGGUAUUCCCGGGGUAGGGGUGAAAUCCUGUAAUCCCGGGAGGACCACCUGUGGCGAAGGCGCCCGGCUGGAACGGGUCCGACGGUGAGGGACGAAGGCCUGGGGAGCGAACCGGAUUAGAUACCCGGGUAGUCCAGGCUGUAAAGGAUGCGGGCUAGGUGUUGCUUGGACCUCGAGUCCAGGCAGUGCCGCAGGGAAGCCGUUAAGCCCGCCGCCUGGGGAGUACGGCCGCAAGGCUGAAACUUAAAGGAAUUGGCGGGGGAGCACUACAAGGGGUGGAGCGUGCGGUUUAAUUGGAUUCAACGCCGG